rnacentral:rRNA from 1 species
GACGAACGCUGGCGGCGUGCUUAACACAUGCAAGUCGAACGGAAAGGCCCUGCUUUUGUGGGGUGCUCGAUUGGCGAACGGGUGAGUAACACGUGAGUAUCCUGCCCUUGACUUUGGGAUAACUUCAGGAAACUGGGGCUAAUACCGGAUAGGAGCUCCUGCUGCAUGGUGGGGGUUGGAAAGUUUCGGCGGUGGGGGAUGGUCUCGCGGCUUAUCAGCUUGUUGGUGGGGUAGUGGCUUACCAAGGCUUUGACGGGUAGCCGGCCUGAGAGGGUGACCGGCCACAUUGGGACUGAGAUACGGCCCAGACUCCUACGGGAGGCAGCAGUGGGGAAUAUUGCACAAUGGGCGGAAGCCUGAUGCAGCGACGCCGCGUGCGGGAUGACGGCUUUCGGGUGGUAAACCGCUUUCGCCUGUGACGAAGCGUGAGUGACGGUAAUGGGUAAAGAAGCACCGGCUAACUACGUG